rnacentral:other from 1 species
GCUUUCCUGCCCAGUGCGUGGACUGCGCUUAUAUAACCCUACAACGUAUUUUUCGGGAGCUUAGCUCCGCCGGUGGACUGCAGACCUCCCGGCCUUGUGCUGGAAGAAGGGAGCAUGAACCCGGUGGGCAGGCACCCACCUGUCUUUUGGUAGGCAGGUUAUUAUUCGCGCGAUACGGCUGGGCGGGCUUUUU